rnacentral:rRNA from 1 species
UACGAAGGGGGCUAGCGUUGCUCGGAAUUACUGGGCGUAAAGGGCGCGUAGGCGGAUAGUUUAGUCAGAGGUAAAAGCCCAGGGCUCAACCUUGGAACUGCCUUUGAUACUGGCUAUCUUGAGUUCGGGAGAGGUGAGUGGAAUGCCGAGUGUAGAGGUGAAAUUCGUAGAUAUUCGGCGGAACACCAGUGGCGAAGGCGACUCACUGGCCCGAUACUGACGAUCAGGUGCGAAAGCGUGGGGAGCAAACAGG